GCCUUCUUAACUCAGUUGGUAGAGUGCCGGUUUUGUAAACCGGUUGUCUUCGGUUCGAAUCCGAAAGAAGGCU
rnacentral:tRNA from 1 species